rnacentral:rRNA from 1 species
GACGAACGCUGGCGGCGUGCUUAACACAUGCAAGUCGAGCGACUGCAUUCUUUUCGGAGGGUGUAUGGAGCGGCGAACGGGUGAGUAACACGUGAGUAAUCUGCCUUUGGCUUGGGAAUAACUUCGGGAAAUCGGGGCUAAUGCCUGAUGUUUACUGUCUGCUGCAUGGUGGGUGGUGGAAAGAUUUUUGGUCCGACGGGAGUGAGCUCGCGGUCUAUCAGC